rnacentral:misc_RNA from 1 species
UACAGAGGUCCCAAGCGUUGUUCGGAUUCACUGGGCGUGAAGGGUGCGCAGGUGGCCAUGAAAGUCUGAUGUGAAAUCUCCGGGCUCGACCCGGAAAAUGCAUUGGAUACUAUGUAGCUUGAGGUUUGGAGGGGGGACUGGAAUUCUCGGUGUAGCAGUGAAAUGCGUAGAUAUCGAGAGGAACACCAGUGGCGAAGGCGGGUCCCUGGACAACACCUGACACUGAGGCACGAAAGCUAGGGGAGCAAACAGG